rnacentral:lncRNA from 1 species
GAUUAGUGAGUGGGUGGGUCCAAAAUUGUUUAAAACUCGUGAAGACAAGUAACCUAAAAUCAUCAUUACAUCUGUUUUUUUUUUUUUUGUUUAGAUGUUGGAAGUGUUUUUGUGUUCACAAUGCCAUUACAAGAAAAGUUUAAGGUUGCGCUUCGGAGAAGACCUAAUCAUUGUUGUUAUAUAUCUUUUUCCCCCAAAGUCACCUGCGGAUUUUUAA